rnacentral:rRNA from 1 species
AUGGAGCUAAUGGCAACGUCGUACUUUAAGGAAGUGUUUACCAAGGACCCGACCCUGGAUCCGGAGUCAGUCCUUGAGCAUAUAGUGCCCAAAGUAUCCCAACACAUGAAUGACAUGUUAUGUGCACCCUUUUCCGAGGAGGAGGUGGCCGAUGCGUUGUUCCAAAUAGGUCCACUAAAGGCACCAGGCACAGACGGCUUCCCGGCCAGAUUCUAUCAGCGCAACUGGGGAGUCUUAAAGCAUGAAAUAACGAUGGCGGUGUUGGAGUUCUUCAAAUCAGGGGUCAUGCCAGAGGGUGUGAAUGAUACUGCCAUCGUGCUAAUCCCAAAGGUACCUUUCCCUAAAGAUCUCAAGGACUUUCGGCCAAUAAGUCUAUGCAAUGUGAUUUACAAAAUUGUGUCCAAGUGUUUGGUGAAUCGUCUUCGCCCUCUCUUGGCUGAUCUUAUAUCCGAGAACCAAAGUGCCUUCAUUCCAGGGAGGUUGAUUUCUGAUAACUCUAUCAUAGCGUUUGAGUGCAUCCAUCAUAUCCAGUCCAUUAAACACAAUAGUCCAGCUGCAUGUGCUUUCAAACUUGAUAUGUCAAAGGCUUAUGACCGUGUGGAUUGGGACUUUCUCGAGAAGGCCCUAGUGAGGUGGGGGUUUUCUGGCAUGUGGAUAGGAUGGAUAAUGGCUUGCGUUAAAUCGGUAAAAUAUUCGGUGAAGCUUAAUGGAAAAUUACUUGAGGUGUUCUCCCCAACGCGGGGCUUGCGACAAGGUGAUCCUUUGUCUCCUUUUCUUUUCCUUUUUGUCGCUGAUGCUCUGUCUGCUCUAAUCUCCAAGGCUGUUGCGGAUGGUGACUUGCGGGGUGUGAGUAUUUGUCGGGGUGCACCAAUUAUUUCACACUUGCUUUUUGCGGACGACACAAUGUUGCUCUUUGAAGCGUCUGGCCAGCAAGCUAGCUUUGUCAAGGGUUUGUUGAACACUUAUACUGCAGCUACGGGUCAACUUAUCAACCCAGAGAAGUGUUCCAUCCUGUUUUCAGACAAUUGUGAUGCAGCGGUGGCGGAUGAAAUAAAGGGCCUUUUGAAUAUAACUCAACAGGUGUUUGACCCAAAAUAUUUGGGCUUGCCGAUUCCUGAAGGAAGAAUGCAUAAAGGAAGGUUUGAAACGCUUCAGGAUCGCCUGCGGAAGUGUUUAAUUGACUGGAGCGAAUAG